GACAGAGGGUGCAAACGUUGUUCGGAUUUACUGGGCGUAAAGCGUGCGCAGGCGGUUUGUUAAGACAGAUGUGAAAUCCCCGGGCUUAACCUGGGAACUGCGUUUGUAACUGGCAAGCUAGAGUGUGGCAGAGGGGGGUGGAAUUCCAAGUGUAGCAGUGAAAUGCGUAGAUAUUUGGAGGAACACCAGUGGCGAAGGCGGCCGCCUGGGCCUUUUCUGACGCUGAGCCGCGAAAGCGUGGGGAGCGAGCCGG
rnacentral:rRNA from 1 species